rnacentral:rRNA from 1 species
AUUGAACGCUGGCGGCAGGCCUAACACAUGCAAGUCGAGCGGAUGAAGGGAGCUUGCUCCUGGAUUCAGCGGCGGACGGGUGAGUAAUGCCUAGGAAUCUGCCUGGUAGUGGGGGAUAACGUCCGGAAACGGGCGCUAAUCCCGCAUACGUCCUGAGGGAGAAAGUCGGGGAUCUUCGGACCUCACGCUAUCAGAUGAGCCUAGGUCGGAUUAGCUAGUUGGUGGGGUAAAGGCCUACCAAGGCGACGAUCCGUAACUGGUCUGAGAGGAUGAUCAGUCACACUGGAACUGAGACACGGUCCAGACUCCUACGGGAGGCAGCAGUGGGGAAUAUUGGACAAUGGGCGAAAGCCUGAUCCAGCCAUGCCGCGUGUGUGAAGAAGGUCUUCGGAUUGUAAAGCACUUUAAGUUGGGAGGAAGGGCAGUAAGUUAAUACCUUGCUGUUUUGACGUUACCAACAGAAUAAGCACCGGCUAACUUCGUG